rnacentral:rRNA from 1 species
CAGCAGCCGCCGCGGUAAUACGAAGGGUGCAAGCGUUACUCGGAAUUACUGGGCGUAAAGCGUGCGUAGGUGGUGGUUUAAGUCCGUUGUGAAAGCCCUGGGCUCAACCUGGGAAUUGCAGUGGAUACUGGGUCACUAGAGUGUGGUAGAGGAUAGUGGAAUUUCCGGUGUAGCAGUGAAAUGCGUAGAGAUCGGAAGGAACAUCUGUGGCGAAGGCGACUAUCUGGGCCAACACUGACACUGAGGCACGAAAGCGUGGGGAGCAAACAGGAUUAGAUACCCCCGUAGUCCCUGUCUCUUAUAC